AGAGGGUGAUUUUGGCUCAGGAUGAACGCUGGCGGCAUGCCUAAUACAUGCAAGUCGAACGAAGUCUUUAGGAAGCUUGCUUCCAAAGAGACUUAGUGGCGAACGGGUGAGUAACACGUAGGUAACCUGCCCAUGUGCCCGGGAUAACUGCUGGAAACGGUAGCUAAAACCGGAUAGGUAUGAGGGAGGCAUCUUCCUCAUAUUAAAGCACCUUCGGGUGUGAACAUGGAUGGACCUGCGGCGCAUUAGCUGGUUGGUGAGGUAACGGCCCACCAAGGCGAUGAUGCGUAGCCGACCUGAGAGGGUGAACGGCCACAUUGGGACUGAGACACGGCCCAAACUCCUACGGGAGGCAGCAGUAGGGAAUUUUCGUCAAUGGGGGGAACCCUGAACGAGCAAUGCCGCGUGUGUGAAGAAGGUCUUCGGAUCGUAAAGCACUGUUGUAAGUGAAGAAUGCCAUAUAGAGGAAAUGCUAUGUGGGUGACGGUAGCUUACCAGAAAGCCACGGCUAACUACGUGCCAGCAGCCGCGGUAAUACGUAGGUGGCAAGCGUUAUCCGGAAUCAUUGGGCGUAAAGGGUGCGUAGGUGGCACGAUAAGUCUGAAGUAAAAGGCAACAGCUCAACUGUUGUAUGCUUUGGAAACUGUCGAGCUAGAGUGCAGAAGAGGGCGAUGGAAUUCCAUGUGUAGCGGUAAAAUGCGUAGAUAUAUGGAGGAACACCAGUGGCGAAGGCGGUCGCCUGGUCUGUAACUGACACUGAUGCACGAAAGCGUGGGGAGCAAAUAGGAUUAGAUACCCUAGUAGUCCACGCCGUA
rnacentral:rRNA from 1 species